GUGUCAGCCGCCGCGGUAAUACAGAGGGGGCAAGCGUUAUUCGGAAUUAUUGGGCGUAAAGGGCGCGUAGGCGGCUGCGCAAGUCUCGGGUGAAAUCCCUCGGCUCAACCGAGGAACUGCCCUGGAAACUGCGCGGCUCGAGGCCGGGAGAGGAUGGUGGAAUUCCCAGUGUAGCGGUGAAAUGCGUAGAUAUUGGGAGGAACACCGGUGGCGAAGGCGGCCAUCUGGACCGGUCCUGACGCUGAGGCGCGAAAGCGUGGGGAGCAAACAGGAUUAGAAACCCUAGUAGUCC
rnacentral:rRNA from 1 species